GACGAACGCUGGCGGCGUGCUUAACACAUGCAAGUCGAACGGUGAAGCGCCUUCCUUUUUGGUGGGUGUGGAUGAGUGGCGAACGGGUGAGUAACACGUGAGUAACCUGCCCCCUUCUUCUGGAUAACCGCAUGAAAGUGUGGCUAAUACGGGAUAUUCUGGGUCUGUCGCAUGAUGGGUCUGGGAAAGAUAUUGUUUCGGUGGGGGAUGGGCUCGCGGCCUAUCAGCUUGUUGGUGGGGUGAUGGCUUACCAAGGCGGUGACGGGUAGCCGGCCUGAGAGGGUGGACGGUCACACUGGGACUGAGACACGGCCUAGACUCCUACGGGAGGCAGCAGUGGGGAAUAUUGCACAAUGGGCGCAAGCCUGAUGCAGCGACGCCGCGUGAGGGAUGGAGGCCUUCGGGUUGUGAACCUCUUUCGCCAGUGAAGCAGGCCUGCCUCGUUUGUGGGUGGGUUGACGGUAGCUGGAUAAGAAGCGCCGGCUAACUACGUG
rnacentral:rRNA from 1 species